AAAAAAAUUAAUAAAAAAAAUUUUAAAAUCUUAAUGGGGGUUAAAGUAUUUUAAAAGAAAAAAUUAAUUAAUUUAUAGUGAAUUAGUAUUGUAAAAUAAAAUUGAAAUAAUUUAAAAAAUAAAUUGUUUAAAAGUAAAUUUAAUUCAUUGUAUCUUGUGUAUCAGAGUUUAUUUAAUAAAUGGUUUAUUUAAACUAUUCUCGAAUUUAAAAGAGAUAAUUAAUUAAUAAAGUUAUUGUAGCAUAAAUAUUUUAAAUAAUUAAUUGGAAAUGAAAUGUUAAUCGUUUUUAAAUAUAUCUAGUUUUUUUAGAAAAAAAUUUAAUUUUAAAAUUAUUAUUAAAAAUUAAUUAAUUAAUUAAUUAAUUUUUUGUUAAUUUUUAUAUUUUAAGGGAUAAGCUUUAAAUUAAAUUUGUAUAAAAAUAAUUUUUUAUUUGAAUAUUAUAUGAUUUAUAUUGUUAAAAAAAUUUAGUUUAUUAUAAAUAAUUUCAUUUUAAAUAAAAUUUAAUAAUUAAUUUACAUUUUUAUAAAAAAAAAAUAUUUAAUAUUGAAAUAUUUGUUAUAAUGAUAAAAUUAGUAUAUAAAAUUUAUUAAAAAUUAAAAUUUAAUAAAAUUAAAUAAAAGUAAUUCGGCAAAAAUUUAUAUUCACUUGUUUAUCAAAAACAUGUCUUUUUGAAAAUAAUAUAAAGUCUAAUCUGCCCACUGAUUUUAAAAUUAAAGGGCUGCAGUAUUUUGACUGUACAAAGGUAGCAUAAUCAUUAGUUAUUUAAUUGAUAACUUGUAUGAAAGAUUGGAUGAAAUAUAAACUGUCUCUUAUUUAAAAUAUAGAAUUUAAUUUUUUAGUUAAAAAGCUAAAAUAUAAUAAAAAGACGAGAAGACCCUAUAGAGUUUUAUAAAUAAAUUAAUUAAGAUUAUUUAUAAAUUGUAUAAAUUAAAAUUUAUUUAUUUAUUUUGUUGGGGUGAUAGAAAAAUUAGAAAAACUUUUUUUAUAAUUAUACAUAAAUAAGUGAUUAAAUGAUCCAGUACUAUUGAUUAUAAGAAUAAAUUACCUUAGGGAUAACAGCGUAAUUUUUUUUUUUAGUUCGAAUAAAAAAAAAAGUUUGCGACCUCGAUGUUGGAUUAAGAUAAAAUUUAAAUGCAGAAGUUUAAAGUUUUUGAUCUGUUCGAUCAUUAAAAUCUUACAUGAUCUGAGUUCAAACCGGUGUAAGCCAGGUUGGUUUCUAUCUUUUAUAAAUUAAAAUAUUUUAGUACGAAAGGAUUAAAUAUUUAAAUUAAAUUUAAUUAAAAUGAAUUUU
rnacentral:rRNA from 1 species